rnacentral:rRNA from 1 species
UGUAAGCGUAUACCAAAGUUGUUGCAGUUAAAACGCUCGUAGUCGGAAUUUGGCAGUUCCGGAUGUGUGCACGUCGUGUGCGCACUUCGCGGGGAUUGCUUUUGUGGUCUUGCGUAGGAUGAGGCACUUUUAUUAGUGAACGUCCUCACGCAACCACUUUUUACUGUGAGAAAAUCAGAGUGCUCAAAGCAGGCAUUUGCCGUGAAUGUAUUAGCAUGGAAUAAUAGAAUAGGACUUGGUUCUAUUUUGUUGGUUUGUUGGGACUGAGUAAUGAUUAAGAGGGACAGUUGGGGGCAUUUGUAUAUCGGUGCCAGAGGUGAAAUUCUUAGAUUACCGAAAGACAAACUGCUGCGAAAGCGUCUGCCAAGGAUGUUUUCAUUGA